UACAGAGGGGGCAAGCGUUAUUCUGAAUUAUUGGGCGUAAAGGGCGCGUAGGCGGCCUGGCAAGUGGAAGGUGAAAUCCCUCGGCUUAACCGAGGAACUGCCCUCCAAACUGCUUGGCUUGAGUCCGGGAGAGGUGAGUGGAAUUCCCAGUGUAGCGGUGAAAUGCGUAGAUAUUGGGAGGAACACCAGUGGCGAAGGCGGCUCACUGGACCGGAACUGACGCUGAGGCGCGAAAGCGUGGGGAGCAAACGGG
rnacentral:rRNA from 1 species